rnacentral:rRNA from 1 species
GGGGGGGGGGGCAAGCGUUGUCCGGAAUUACUGGGCGUAAAGGGCGCGUAGGCGGACGGGGGGAAAGUCUUUCGUGAAAUCCCACGGGCUCAACCGUGGAACUGCGGGAGAUACUACUCGUCUUGAGUUCGGGAGAGGAGUGUGGAAUUCCCAGUGUAGCGGUGAAAUGCGUAGAUAUUGGGAGGAACACCGGUGGCGAAGGCGGCACUCUGGACCGAUACUGACGCUGAGGCGCGAAAGCUAGGGGAGCAAACGGGAUUAGAUACCCCGGUAGUCCUAGCUGUAAACGCUGAGCACUUGGUGUAGCGGGUAUCGACCCCUGCUGUGCCGAAGCUAACGCAUUAAGUGCUCCGCCUGGGGAGUACGGUCGCAAAGGCUG